rnacentral:sRNA from 1 species
UGCUAAUCUGAUCUAAAUUAAGGUAUAAAUGAAGUCAGGGGAUUCAUCUGGUUUCAAACAGUUUUUAUGGAUUUCAGGAGUUCCAACUAAUGCCAUCUGUUGGAUUGUAUGGGGAGCUUUUGACUGGUCCAUGGAUGACAUUGUUUUAUAAAAAUCGAAGAUUAUAAAAAG